CCUACGUGCGGCAGCAGUGAGGAAUAUUGGUCAAUGGCCGCAAGGCUGAACCAGCCAAGUAGCGUGAGGGAAGACUGUCCUAUGGGUUGUAAACCUCUUUUAUCCGGGAGCAAAGGGCUCCACGUGUGGCUGUUUGCGAGUACCUGAUGAAUAAGCAUCGGCUAACUCCGUGCCAGCAGCCGCGGUAAUACGGAGGAUGCGAGCGUUAUCCGGAUUUAUUGGGUUUAAAGGGUGCGAGGGCGGACUUUAAAGUCAGCGGUAAAAUUUGGGGGUUCAACCAGGGAGUGCCGUGCAAACUGGAGUUCUUGAGUGCGCGAGAGGUAUGCGGAAUGCGUGGUGUAGCGGUGAAAUGCAUAGAUAUCACGAAGAACUCCGAUUGCGAAGGCAGCAUGCCGGAGCUCAACUGACGCUGAUGCUCGAAAGCGUGGGUAUCGAACAGGAUUAGAUACCCGUGUAGUC
rnacentral:rRNA from 1 species